AGGAAGAAGCCUAGAUGAGCUGUUGGACAAGAAGAUGCACACAUUUCAGCUUUCAACAUGCUGCCUUGUACAUAAACCAGCAUGUUCCAAGGCUGAACCCUAACACCAAGAACAUAUUCUGGGUCUCAGGCUGAAUCCAGUUUUUACUCAUGGCUAAAUAUACUUUUUGAAAGCAACAUCCUUUAUAUCACAUGUGAUACCCUGACGGAAUCCAGGGUACCUAAGAUUCCCAGGUGGUCUCUAUUCUAGGCACUGGCCAGGCCUAUAUUUGCUGAGCUUUAAUAUCUUUGCUGCAUCAGGUGCCUAACCUUGGAUCAUAAGCGGAAUGGGAGUCACAGACCAGGUUAUGACUUGAAAAUGAACUAGCAUAUGAAGCAUAUUUGAACAGUACUCAAAAUAUUUAUUUCUGCAGCUUGUUAUUUUAUGAGCAAAGCAUUUAUAAUCCUUCUGCUGUUAUUUGGGAUCAAAAAAUAACUUUCACCAGGCAGAUUUGGGAAAGUAAUUCUUUAAGUGAGACAACUGAGCCGAUCCUUGGAGGGGGAAAUGCUAAUUGAACGAUUCAGCUUAAUUUAGGUCAUACUGCCCUCUAGGGGAUCAGUCAUACAUAUCCAUUUUUUGUUUCUAAAGAGUAGGAACUCUUCUUAACGCAGCUUUGAUGUUCAGAAAAAGAACUUUGUUGUGUAUUUCAAUGGGCAUCUUUACUACAUUAAAGAAUGGAGGUAACUACAACUCUCAUAAAGAA